rnacentral:lncRNA from 1 species
ACUACCUGCAAAAUCCACCAGGGACCCAUGUGCCACCUCUGACACAGCCAACCCUCACAGCCCUCUUACCAGCUACACUGGAGUCACCCAACAUCUAAGAAGCAACUCCUUCCCAGGCUCUCACAGGACAGAGCAGACUCCAGACUCUAUGGGAAUGUCACUCUCUUUCUCUCAUUUGGAAUUACCUCAGAGGCCCCCCAAAACAGCCUCUGCUGCUUUAUUUGCUUUGAAACAGGACUCUGAAGAAUUCACGUCAAAUCCAGAGAGUUCCAGCAAUCCUCAUGGUAGUCAACCAUGGGGCUCCCCACAGAACUCAGCCUUUGCCAUAGGCUCUCCUGUGAAUGUUUCUUCUCCACCCACUGUUUCCAUGGAUAUGAUACAUGAAGCUUUGCCCCCUCCUCCCCCAGAGAAGAGACAUAGCUACAGUCACAUAGUGGAAAGAGAUGGCCUUUUUCAUGAAGUAGCUGCCACACUGAAGCGGCAUAGUCAUCCUCCUCCAUUGACCCUAAGUUCAGGGCUCCAUAGGUCUCCUAAAGGCUCAUUUUCCCUAGUUCCUGACUCUGUUGUUGCAAGGCAGCACCGCCCUCUGCCAUCCACCCCAGAAGGCUCCCACCAUACUCAGACCUCCAUCCCCUCCA